GUUAGUAGAACAACUCUAGAGGAAAAGCUGGGCCGGAAAAGUGGGAACCUCAAGGGCGCCGCCCUGUUGCUACUGGUCAAUGUGGCCAGCGCAAUUACUAUUGAAAGAGCUGAGAACAAGUACAGGUCACCUUAUGCUUUGUCACCUAAAAACGCAUACCUGAUGGCUUUAUGAAGGUGGUACGUUAAUAUUAAGUUUACAGAAAGCGAUCGCUAAGUCCGUGACUUAUGUAAAUCACGAUGUACGCAUUCAUGCAAUAAAGGAUGACGCGAAUUUCGGUUUCGAAUCUGUUUUUUGGAUGCGUAGUAGUUUCGUUUGACAUGCGAUCGCGCGUCGACAUCGGACGCUAUGACACACUCGUGCCCUAUGUGCCACCGAAGCCCCGAAGUGGUCUGGCAUAUACCUUCACAUGUAAGUAAACGAAUGUAUCUCCUUGUUGAGAAUAUCACGCGAGUAGGCAGCUCUUGUGGUACAUCACAAUCGUUCGAGAAGCGUCACAGUAGAGCAUUUUUCUGCAUGCGGAGCGCUGUUUUUAUUUGCAGGUUUCCCUUCAGUAGGAAAUUGCUGGACAGGCGGACCAGCGCACCGGAAUUGUAUUGGCGAAGCCACAAGCAACUCAAAGAAUCUGUUUAAUUGUUGCACUUUGAACAAUCAUGCUUCUACAAAGGCCACAGCAGAAAAACAGCCUGAUGACCGAGUAUUUCUGUGCCACGAAGUAAUCAAGAGGCGAGUGCCUAAUGCGGACGAAAUAGAGUGCAUGGAGACUUAGAACGACAGAAAGCUGAGCUAGUUCGUAAGGAUUCAUUAUGCAAAACAGAGGUGAGGCGUGCAGACAGGACACAAGAGUAGAGAAGUGGGCGGCGCGCGUGUUGUUUGCUUGUAAAUACUCUACUCUUGUUUCCUGUCUGCACGCCUCACCUCCGUUUUGCAUAACGAGUGCAUCAACCCACAUAUUAAUAGCUUAGGCGUUUUAUUAACUGUGGAAUAUUUUCAACACUUCCUUGCAUGCCAUUUCAUGUCACAAAUUUGUGCAGCGAAUCUAUUUGCAUGAUCGACUCCGGGCCUGUGGGACCGUUCACUUGCACUUGAUGCUGAGUCUUUUACAUGUAUCCAUAAACUGCAGAUAUGCACAUCAGAUCCCUGCGAGCACUUUCAAAAUUCAAUUAUUUUCGACAACAGGCACAUCAGGCACAUAUGCAAUACUGACAUAAUCUGGAAUACCACUAAGCAGCUGGGACACAUUUUUGUUGACCAUACUCGCAGGUAAAAUAAGUACAUCAUGUGGACAGCUCCAGCUCAUUUUCCUUAAGUCAGUGUGUACAAGGGUUAUGCAAAAAUAAUUUUUUUUUCUCGCGCACCGAUUAUUUUGCUGUAUAAGCAAGAGAACCCACCACGUUAGUGUAACGUAUCUUGUGCAUCACACUAAUAUGUGCUUUCAUUUACCAAGUAAGAUGAGUUACUUUUAUGGCUCAUUCAGUCAUAUCACACUGCAAGCUGCAUUCAUCAAUCUUCAAUGGGAUUUUGCAAAUGUUUAAUGAAACAUGUUUCCCUUUUAUGCAGAUAUGCAAUGGCAAGCCCUUCCGUGUGUUCCAAAGACAAUGCCUACGCCUAGCCACAGCAGCUCCCUCAUACAGACUCCACAAACCAAGAGGCCGUGGAGGCAAAUGCAGGCAGCCAGCACACCUCGAACAGCCACCUUGACUGCAGGUGUGUCACCUUAGUCGCGAAGGAAACAUUUGAGGGAAAGUGACAGGCAAUGUGAACAGCCACUUCUCCAUGUAAACAAUACUCUUUCUCUCGGAUGACUCCUACGCCUCGCCACGCCAGCACACUUGUGCACAAAGAUGCGACAGAGGCACGUGCAGGUCAGAGGCAAGAAGCAGUGGCACUGGUGUCGACAUUUACCCAAUUUCUUUUUCUUACACUGAGGCAGCCAGCACACCUCGAACAGCCACCUUGACUGCGGGUGUGUUAGUUGAUUCCUGUUGUACAUAUGCUCAUAAUAAACUUCAGUAAACUUGAACUUCAUAAUAAACUUGAAGGCAAAUGGGA